UUUUUUUUAUCCUUGCGCUCUUUGUGCCUAUAAAUUGGGAAAAUUAAGUUCAUUUUUCUUUUUCUUCUUCUUUUGCUCUCAAGUGCAAUAAAAUUCUUCUUCCUCUUGCAAUUUCAGUGAUAACACCUACAACACUUUUGAGUUUUACAUUUUAAAUUCUUAGUUGCUUGAUUUUCAUACUUUAGAGUUUUCUACUUUGUGGGUUUCCC
rnacentral:lncRNA from 1 species